CCUACGGGUGGCAGCAGUGAGGAAUAUUGGUCAAUGGACGAGAGUCUGAACCAGCCACGUAGCUUGAAGGAUGACUUCCCUAUGGGUUGUAAACUUCUUUUAUAUGGUAAUAAAAUGUUCCACGUUUGGGAUUUUGUAUGUACCAUAUGAAUAAGGAUCGUCUAACUCCGUUCCAGCAGCCGCGGUAAUACGGAGGAUCCGAGCGUUAUCCGGAUUUAGUGGGUUUAAAGGGAGCGUAGGUGGAUUGUUAAGUCAGUUGUGAAAGUUUGCGGCUCAACCGUAAAAUUGCAGUUGAAACUGGCAGUCUUGAGUACAGUAGAGGUGGGCGGAAUUCGUGGUGUAGCGGUGAAAUGCGUAGAUAUCACGAAGAACUCCGAUUGCGAAGGCAGUUCACUGGACUGCAACUGACACUGAGGCUCGAAAGUGUGGGUAUCAAACAGGAUUAGAUACCCCAGUAGUC
rnacentral:rRNA from 1 species